rnacentral:rRNA from 1 species
AACGUAGGAGACAAACGUUAUCCGGAGCUACUGGGCGUAAAGGGCGUGUAGGUGGUUUCGUAAGUCUGGCGUGAAAUUUCUCGGCUUAACCGAGGCAGGUCGUCGGAUACUGCGGAACUUGAGGACGGUAGAGGCGUGUGGAAUUCCCGGUGUAGUGGUGAAAUGCGUAGAUAUCGGGAGGAAUACCAGUGGCGCAAGCGGCGCCCUGGCCGUGACCUGACACUGAGCCACGACGGCGUGGGGAGCAAACGGG